rnacentral:rRNA from 1 species
AUUGAACGCUGGCGGCAGGCCUAACACAUGCAAGUCGAGCGGAGCGUCGGACUGGUGAGUAAUGCUUAGGCAUCUUCCUGCUAGUGGGGGAUAACGUCCGGCAACGGGCGCUAAUACCUCAUACUAUCCCAUGAGCCUAGGUCGGCUUAGCUAGUUGGUGGGGUAAAGGCCUACCAGGGCGACGAUCCGUAACUGGUCUGAGAGGAGGAUCAGUCACAUUGGAAAUGAGACACGGUCCAAACUCCUACGGGAGGCAGCAGUGGGGAAUAUUGGACAAUGGGCGAAAGCCGGAUCCAGCAAGGCCGCGUGUGUGAAGAAGGUCUUCGGAUUGUAAAGCACUUUAAGUUGGGAGGCGUUAACAACAGAAUAAGAAACGGCUAACUCCGUGCCAGCAGCCGCGGUAAUUC